ensembl:lncRNA
GUCCAGUGUCAAACGGUCACCUUGUGUUUACCAAAGCAAGGUAAAACAAAAAAGAAAUUAAACCACAAUCUUUAAUAAAUGAGUGAAAACAUGAAUCUUACGAGUCAGUAUGAGUGUGCAUAAAAUGUGAGCACCAUAAUACACAGAGCCGGUGUUCUGACAAUUUGUGCUACCUCCCAUUAAACAGAUAAGUAGCACAAAUCAAUAACCUUGAUAAACAUGCAACCCAUCAGAUUGUGCUAACAGCAUCUUAUUCACUUGGUUUGAUGCUUUUUUUAAUGUCUAUACCUACCCCUAACCAAAAACCUACCGACCUAUACCCACACUCACCCUAAACUUACCCUUAAAACCAUGCAAAUAUAUUUUUGGUAGCACAAUCUGAUAGGCAGCAUGUUUCGUCAGUAAACCCGGAUGUGAAUUCAACAGUACAGGACGCAACAAUUGAGCCAUGGCACGUGGAAGACGAAGGGUCCCAGUCCAAUGUGAAGACAUUGAUAAUAUUUCAGUUCAGUGUCAGGAUGACCAAUUCGGGCUGGAUGCGGAAGUGGUUUUUGAUGAAAAAUCCUUUCCCUUACAGAAGUGCACUCAAUAUGUGACUGGGUCAUAUCAUGGGGGCAGAGUUCCUGGGCAGAAUCAGGAAACAGUGUGGGAUUCAUCUGCUGUGAAUGGACAAAUCAGUGCUGCAGGCUUCUACAUAAAUGCAGGUGUUUUAGAUGCUGAGUCUGACAGCCUAACAUUCACAGAUGGGGAUGUUCCAGGAUUCACAGCACUCGAUAGCAUGGGAGGCAACGGCCAUGAGCUGAUGAACAGAGAUGAAUGUUAUGAAAAAGAAAAGCAUGUGAAUCCAAAGGGACAGAAGAAAAAAGCUGAGAGAGAGGAGAACACAGCUUCACCAUUAAAGAGGAAAAGAAUCCAGUCAACAUCUGAUUCUUGUGAAAUGUGACUUGAUUACAAAGAUAGCACUUAUUUUCUGUUGCUUUAGCAUACUGUAGUAGUUCUAAAAAGCUUAACAGAAAUCUUAAUCUAUAACUCUUAAUUUCUGUUCUGUCUAAAUAAAUAAUAUCUACAGAAGGAUAAUACAAGCUGUCGUUCAUUAUUGUAAAUGCAUAAGACUAUCAUCUCAGCUUAAAGGAUCCUCCCCAAAACUGAAAAUUCUGUCAUCAUGUAUGUAAUUCCUACC